rnacentral:misc_RNA from 1 species
UUUUGUGACACACCUGACCAUACAAUAACAAGUCUUGAUUCUUCAGAAGACCACACGUCCACUGUCUAUGUCUAGACGACUACUUGUCGUUAAUAAGAUUUUAAGGUUAAAAAUCGUAGUUUGUAAGAAGUAGCAACUUCUCGUUGUCACGUCAUGUUUUCGGUUUGAGAACUUUUACUCACAUUGAAGUUUGAAAAUGGAGGAACACAAGUGGUUGAGUGAUCCUUUGGUGAUGCGUUAUUUGAGAUCCAAAGAGAUAAACGACUCAUUACGGCUGGUACACCAAUCUAAGUUGUCAUCCAUGAAAAGUCUGAUUGACCGACUUGGUCUAGAUUACGAACUUACUGGUCAUGGAGGCUGUGUUAACUGUCUGGAAUGGAACAGUGAUGGUUCAAUUUUAGCAUCUGGUUCAGAUGACCUUCACAUCAUACUCUGGAAUCCAUUUUUAAAGAAAAAAAUUGCUAAUAUAGAUACAGGUCAUCAAGGCAAUAUUUUUUCUGUGAAAUUCAUGCCACAAUCAAUGGAUGGCCUAGUAGCUAGUGCAGCUGGAGAUGGACGAGUCAAAAUCCAUUGGGUGGACCAUGCACAAUCUAUGAAUUCCACUCCUCAGACUAGUCUGCAGUGUAAUUGUCAUGUUGGUCGUGUCAAGCGUUUGGCGACAGCUCCUGAUAUCCCUUACCUACUUUGGAGUGGGGCUGAAGAUGGGACAGUGAUGCAAUUUGACUUGAGGACACCUCACACAUGUACGAAUGGUCCGUCCAACAUUCUUAUUAAUUUAUUAAGCCAUAUGGGAAAACAGGCUGAAGUAAAAUCGAUUGCAAUUAAUCCCAUUCGGACCGAACAACUUGUCGUUGGAGCUAAUGAUCCUUUCAUCCGCCUGUAUGACAGACGAAUGAUUAAAAUCACAUCUGUUCCGUUUUCCGCAGAAAGGCCCAACCGAGGUAGGCAAUACUCAUUGGCAACUAAUUCACAAAGUGAAGAAAGUCGUUCAGCUAUUCCGCUUGGAUGUGCUCAAUAUUUCGCUCCGGGUCAUCUGCCUCAGAAGUUGGAUGAUUACCGUCGCCGUUUUCGCUCGUUAGCGUCGACGUAUGUUACAUUCGAUCCGUCAGGUCGCUAUCUUUUGGCGAAUUUAGGAGGCGAACAGAUUUAUUUGUAUGAUUGCCUAACACCAAAUCCCCCAAUUACUCAAGUGCCUCUUUUGGGUAAAGAACCUUUAAAUGGAAUUAAAGGUUUCACGUUACCCCCAGACAUAGAACAAAUAAAAAUUCAGGCCAACGCGGCCUUCCAGCAACGGCAGUACACUACAGCCAUUGGAUUGUACAGCAAAGCUCUCAUCAAAGCACCAAAUUCGCCAGUCUUGUACAGUAAUCGCGCAACAGCUUGCAUGAAACGUAAUUGGGACGGAGACACGUAUGCUGCUCUCAAGGAUUGCAUUAGUGCAUUGAAGAUCGACCCUAACCAAAUCAAACCCUUUCACCGGUUAGCACGCUGUCUAUUAGAUCUUGGCCAAGUGGUUUUGGCCGACCAGGCAUUCAAAUUGCUCAGGGAAAGAUUUCCUCAACAAGCCAAUAGUUCCACAUUCAAUACUCUUCAUGUCGAAGUCCAGAAAAAGCUUGAGCUUGAAGAACAACGUUCCGAGAAGGAAACUGCUCGGAGAGGAGAGUUGGAUGAUGAAUCUGACUUAUUGGAAGAUGGGGUCAAUUCUCCGAGUUUAACAGAAAACGAAAAAAAUUGGAGGGCACAAUACUGGGACUACUCCAGCCGUUAUUGCGGUCAUUGCAAUACUACCACUGACAUUAAAGAAGCCAAUUUUUUUGGAAACGACGGGCAGUAUAUUCUAGCUGGAUCGGACGACGGAUGUUUUUUUAUUUGGGAUCGUAACACUGGAAUCGUUGAACGAGUGCUGCGUGGUGAUGAAUCGAUCGUUAAUUGUCUUCAGCCUCAUCCUUUCACAUGUAUGUUGGCCUCAUCGGGGAUCGAUUCGGUGGUUCGCAUAUGGUCUCCGCUACCACAGGAAAGAGUCGUCUCAGAUCGUUUGGGGAGUGUGGUACUUGACGCGGAAUCAGCAGCGAUGGCCAAUCAACGACGCAUGAAUGCCGACCCUUUCGAAAUGUUUCUUAUGAACAUGGGUGCGACGGCUGAGGAUGCCAUGCCGGAUAUUACAGUUCGCCCUCGUCGUCCAGCCUCAUCUCCAGACGAUGAUCAGGACGAAGAUCCUCGCGCAGCCAUCCAAUGUCGACAGAGUUAAAAUAAGGGAAUAUAUCUAUAUAUUUUUUCUUUAUCAUUCGAUUGUUAAGUUUUUUUUUGCGCUGGCUCCCCAAUUCGAUGAAUUCUAAGAAAUCCAUGUUAAACUUUAUCUCGCCUUGAUGAUUAUACCUAACCUGUUUGUUACUUAUCGAAUAGUCAUUGAGAUAGCUUGAUUCUCACAAUUAUUGGAGCAUCAGUCACCAUAACGAAGCAGCAGUUAAAUGCCAAUUGUACAACAGAGACGAUUCCAUUUUGCAACCGAAAA